rnacentral:rRNA from 1 species
AGUGAACGCUGGCGGUAGGCCUAACACAUGCAAGUCGAACGGCAGCACAGUAAGAGCUUGCUCUUACGGGUGGCGAGUGGCGGACGGGUGAGGAAUACAUCGGAAUCUACUUUUUCGUGGGGGAUAACGUAGGGAAACUUACGCUAAUACCGCAUACGACCUACGGGUGAAAGCAGGGGAUCUUCGGACCUUGCGCGAUUGAAUGAGCCGAUGUCGGAUUAGCUAGUUGGCGGGGUAAAGGCCCACCAAGGCGACGAACCGUAGUUGGUCUGCGAGGAUGAUCAGCCACACUGGAACUGAGACAAGGUCCAAACUCCUACGGGAGGCAGCAGUGGGGAAUAUUGGACGAUGGGCGCAAGCCUGAUCCAGCCAUACCGCGUGAGUGAAGAAGGCCUUCGGGUUGUAAAGCCCUUUUGUUGGGAAAGAAAAGCAGCAGGUUAAUACCCCGCUGUUCUGACGGUACCCAAAGAAUAAGCACCGGCUAACUUCGUG